rnacentral:rRNA from 1 species
UGAGGUGUAAGGGCAGUAAUGCCUUUAGCUGACAGGUACUAAUAGGUCGAGGGCUUGACCA